CUCUUGACCUUGUGAUCUGCCCACCUUUGUCUCCCAAAGUGCUGGGAUUACAGGCAUGAGCUGUCAUGCCCUGCCAUUGUUUAACCUUUGUACUAAUAAACACCACCUUUCUAAAAUUAUGUAUAUCCAACAGACCAAUGUUAUCUAUUUUUGUCAGAUUACUCUAAACAGCAUUACACAGAUACAUCCCCUAUUAUCUAAACUUAAGUAGAAAUUUUACUUUAUUAUGUGAUUAUUUUUCUAUUUAAGCAAACUUCAUGUUAUGUCUACUCACUAAAAAUACUAAAGGCCACAUUUUGUAAGUGAUUUAUUAUUCUCAUGAUACUGUCUCUUGUUUAAUUUAAACAUUUUUUUUUUUUACUUAUUUUAGGUGGAGCCGGACUGUGUAGAACAAAUAAUUAGAGAAACAAAGAAAACUUUUGCUGUGUUGGGCACUUGCUCCCAUCUACUUUCUUCUCUAGAAUCCACUGGGCCGGAAUGAGUGAUUUUUCUUAGAAGCAGAGUUGGAGCCACCGAGGAAACACAGCAGGCUCCCGUUGUGGUGGAUUGUGUCAUCCCACAAUGUCGCUAUUGCUGAGUCCCCAUCACCUCUGUGUUGUGGAGCAGUAAGAGACACACAGCAGUGUCUGUGGGUGGCUCUGCGUGAAGGACUGUUUUCUAGGUGAGAGGCACAUCUCAGCACAGCUGACUGAUCAGACUCAGCAAUUCCAUUCUGCAUCUCCUCUGGACAACCCCAGGACAACCCCAUCAGGGCCCUGUCACCAGGCCCAAUGUGGCUCCAUGAUAACCAAGACGCAGGUCCAGAGACAACUGCCCUGCAUGGUGCCUGCAUCUGACCCCCCUUGGUGGAUAGUGAUGAGCACAACAUGGAAGAAGCCAGGGCAGCAUGCGGACAGCUGCCCUGCAACCCCAGAUGGCACCUGGGCCUUGGGAAGUCAUUCUCCAAGGGGAAGCUGGAAACUUUGAUGUCCCUGGAGGAAAGGGUAAACGUGGCCUCCCAACAACCCUAGCAGCCAGCAGCAUGCCAUACAUCUUCUCACCCAACCUGUGGGACAGAGGCCCCCUCCUGGGGAACAAGAUCCAUAUCUAAAGGGUCUUGACCCAGUCGGGCCUCAUCCUGGGCCCUGGGAGGGGAGAGGCACUGUGGGCCCUCCAACAGCAGCCAGGAUUACCACCCAGGGGACUCAGCCUUCUGUGGCCCUGGCCAGACUUAGAAUUUGGCACAAGACAGGACAAGCUCACUCAGCGCAGCUUGUUAAUACCCAGGGCCUGUGCAUGCCAGGCAAGGCCAAGCUGACUCAAAGAGCAACCAGCCACCUCUGCAAGGGUGUGCCUGGAGCAGGUAGACCAGCCACCAGCCUCACCCACUCAAGGAAGCAGGGGUGGCCAGGUCCCGCAGCCUGAGUAGCUGCCAUCUGAUGGCUGAUGGAGCAGAGGCCUGAGGAAAAGCAGAUGGCACUGGGGCCCUACCUCCAGGGCAGAAUUACUGAUUUACCCUGAGGGCAGCGAGUGAGGUUGGUGGCUGGUCCACCUGCUCCUGGCACACCCUUGCAGAGGUGGCUGGUUGCUCUUUGAGCCAGUUUGGCCUUG